UUUCCGUAGGUGAACCUGCGGAAGGAUCAUUAAUAAAUUUUUUUAGGUUGAAAUUUGAAACCUAAAAUAUAAUAAUCUACCCUUUGUGAAUUGUUGUUUGAAAUAAUUUUUAAAAAAAUUAUUAUAGUUUUGUCUAUCCUGAGUUGUAAGAGAAGUAAUUCUUGAAGACUUAGGAAUAGGCUUUAUCUAUAAAUAAUGAUUUUAAAGACCUUUUUUUAAAUUAAACUUUUGUAUUCAUUUUUCUAAAAUUUAUUUUUAAUAAUUUAAAAACAACUUUUGACAAUGGAUCUCUUGGUUCUCGCAACGAUGAAGAACGCAGCAAAUGCGAUAAGUAAUGUGAAUUGCAGAUACGUGAAUCAUCAAUCUUCGAACGCGUAUUGCACUUUUUAGUUUACUAAAAAAGUAUGUCUGUUUGAGUAUCAGUAAGAUAUUCUCAUAAAAAUUAUUUUUUUAUGGUUUUGAGUGUUUUACAACGAUACAAGUUGUUUCACUUUAAAUUGACUUUAAAUUGCCUAUUAAUUUAGUCAUUUUUAAAUUGCAUAAAUUUCCCGUAAAAAGGAAUAACUAUCAAUUUUAAAAUUAACUGAUAUUAAAGGCCUUGAUAAAAGGAAAUUUAAUUAAAUAACUUGAUCUCAAAUCAGAUAAGAGUACCCGCUGAACUAAGCAUAUCAUAAGCGGAGGAAAAGAAACUAACAAGGAUUCCCUAGUAACGGCGAGUGAAGCGGGAAGACUCAAAUUUGAAAUCUUCAAGUUUGACCUUGACAAUUGUAGUUUAAAGAAGUGUUUUCGGUUAGAGGAGUGGUAAAAGUUCUUUGGAAUAGGACAUCAUAGAGGGUGAGAAUCCCGUUUUGACCAUUCUUUCUAGCUUUGUGAUACACUUUCAAAGAGUCGGAUUGUUUGGAAUGCAGUCCAAAAUGGGUGGUAAAUUUCAUCUAAGCUAAAUAUUGCGAGAGACCGAUAGCGAACAAGUACCGUGAGGGAAAGAUGAAAGAACUUUGAAAGAGAGUUAAACAGUACGUGAAAUUGUCAAAAGGAAGCGUUUGACACCAGAGUUGUUUUCCAAAAUCAAUUAAAAAUAAUUCAUGCCAGGUUGUAUUGACCUUAUCAGCUUGCAUUUGGUUUUGGUUUCUUUUUGAUGCACUUCGGUUAACAAGUCAACAUCAUUCUUUGCUGUAAAAGGCGAGGAAGUGCUUCAAUUCGGUUGAAGUGUUUAUAGCCUUCUGUCUCUGCAGUCGGGAGAUUGAGGUCUGCAGGUAGAUCCUUCGGGGUAGAUACAUCGUGCUAAGUUAUAGCCUUUAUAGACAACUGUUGACUAUGAUCGGCCAUGUAAUUUACUCGCGAGUGCUAUUU
rnacentral:misc_RNA from 1 species